rnacentral:rRNA from 1 species
CGUAGGGAGCAAGCGUUAUCCGGAUUUAUUGGGUGUAAAGGGUGCGUAGGCGGUUUAUUAGGUCUAUGGUUUAAUUCCGAAGCUUAACUUCGGUUCGCCAUAGAACCGAUUUACUUGAGUAUGGUAGAGGCAAGUGGAAUUUCUAGUGUAGCGGUAAAAUGCGUAGAUAUUAGAAGGAACACCAGUGGCGAAGGCGACUUGCUGGGCCAUCACUGACGCUGAGGCACGAAAGCGUGGGGAGCAAAUAGGAUU